GAGCUGGAACUAAAUGCACAAAGAACCAAUCCAGAUUGAGAACUGGUCUGAGAAAUGUCCCUCUAUCCAACCACAUCAAUCUCUUUAGUUCAAGAUUUCACUUUAAGAUUAAUGACGGUGUCUUCAUUUUGAGUGCACAUAACAGAUAAGAGGCAGUUGGUCCUCAGCCCUCACUUAUGAAUGAGUCUAGUUAGUCAAAAACAGGAUCAUCAUAACCAAACAUCUGGAUUAUUUGUCAAUAUUUUAAAUGAUUGAGUACCUUGAUCUAAUUUCUAACAUUCUUUUAAUUCUGAGCACUCUCCAGUAAGCUCAAACAACAGUCAGUUUAUUUGACAUUUACUACAUUUUGCAUAAUGGUUUGGCAAUG